GGGCACCCUGGGGGAGAGGAGGGCACGAGGCGUUGAGGCAGGGGAAAGUGACGAGCUGCCCGUCAUUGCCAGCCAGGGACGAGCACGCGGCCACUCUCCCACCCAGCUGCCCACAAUCACUCGUCCGCAGAAAUGUCAGCCACCGGCGUCCGGGGCCUUCGGGCCACCUACCACCGGGUCCUUGAUAAAGUGGAGCUCAUGCUGCCUGAGUAAUUGAGGCCGUUGUACAACCACCCGGCAGGUCCCAGAACAGUAUUUUUCUGGGCUCCAAUUAUGAAAUGGGGGUUGGCGUGUGCUGGAUUGGCUGACAUGGCCAGACCUGCAGAAAAACUCAGCACAGCCCAGUCUGCUGUCAUGAUGGCUACAGGGUUUAUUUGGUCAAGAUACUCACUUGUAAUUUUUCCCAAAAACUGGAGUCUGUUUGCUGUUAAUUUCUUUGUCGGGACAGCAGGAGCCUCUCAGCUCUUUCGUAUUUGGAGAUAUAACCAAGAACUAAAAGCUAAAGCAAACAAAUAAGAGUUCCUGAUCACCGUAACAACCUAGAUGUGGACAUAACCACUGGGACCUAAUUUGAUUUAUUAUUCGGUUGUCAAUGAGGUGAUGGUAACUGUGUUAACGUUUGUAAGGCAUAAAAUCCGCUUGUAAUUGGGAGACAGUACUUGAUUCAACAGAGAAAUAAAGCAAACUUUUAAUAAAAAAAA